rnacentral:rRNA from 1 species
UGGGGAAUAUUGCACAAUGGGGGAAACCCUGAUGCAGCGACGCCGCGUGAGCGAAGAAGGUUUUCGAAUCGUAAAGCUCUGUCCUAUGAGAAGAUAAUGACGGUAUCAUAGGAGGAAGCCCCGGCUAACUACGUGCCAGCAGCCGCGGUAAUACGUAGGGGGCACGCGUUGUCCGGAAUCACUGGGCGUAAAGGGUUCGCAGGCGGAAAUGCAAGUCAGUUGUGAAAGGCAGAGGCUCAACCUCUGUAAGCAAUUGAAACUGUAUUUCUUGAGAUGUGGAGAGGCAAGUGGAAUUCCUCGUGUAGCGGUGAAAUGCGUAGAUAUUAGGAAGAAUACCGGUGGCGAAGGCGACUUGCUGGACACAAACUGACGCUGAGGAACGAAAGCGUGGGUAGCAAACAGG